rnacentral:SRP_RNA from 1 species
GCUGACCCCCCGUGCGGUGUCAUCUCGUGAACUCCCCCAGGGCCGGAAGGCAGCAAGGGUCAGCGGGCGCUGGCAGGUGUGCGGGGGGUCCUCUCG